rnacentral:rRNA from 1 species
CCUACGGGAGGCAGCAGUGGGGAAUAUUGGACAAUGGGGGCAACCCUGAUCCAGCCAUGCCGCGUGUGUGAAGAAGGCCCUCGGGUUGUAAAGCACUUUCAGUGAGGAAGAACGCCUGGUGGUUAAUACCCAUCAGGAAAGACGUCACUCACAGAAGAAGCACCGGCUAACUCCGUGCCAGCAGCCGCGGUAAUACGGAGGGUGCGAGCGUUAAUCGGAAUUACUGGGCGUAAAGCGCGCGUAGGUGGCUUGAUAAGCCGGUUGUGAAAGCCCCGGGCUCAACCUGGGAACGGCAUCCGGAACUGUCAAGCUAGAGUGCAGGAGAGGAAGGUAGAAUUCCCGGUGUAGCGGUGAAAUGCGUAGAGAUCGGGAGGAAUACCAGUGGCGAAGGCGGCCUUCUGGACUGACACUGACACUGAGGUGCGAAAGCGUGGGUAGCAAACAGGAUUAGAUACCCUUGUAGUC